AGUGAACGCUGGCGGUAGGCCUAACACAUGCAAGUCGAACGGCAGCACAGUAAGAGCUUGCUCUUACGGGUGGCGAGUGGCGGACGGGUGAGGAAUACAUCGGAAUCUACUUUUUCGUGGGGGAUAACGUAGGGAAACUUACGCUAAUACCGCAUACGACCUACGGGUGAAAGCAGGGGAUCUUCGGACCUUGCGCGAUUGAAUGAGCCGAUGUCGGAUUAGCUAGUUGGCGGGGUAAAGGCCCACCAAUGCGACGAUCCGUAGCUGGUCUGAGAGGAUGAUAAGCCACACUGGAACUGAGACACGGUCCAGACUCCUACGGGAGGCAGCAGUGGGGAAUAUUGGACAAUGGGCGCAAGCCUGAUACAGCCAUACCGCGUGGGUGAAGAAGGCCUUCGGGUUGUAAAGCCCUUUUGUUGGGAAAGAAAAGCAGCAGGUUAAUACCCCGCUGUUCUGACGGUACCCAAAGAAUAAGCACCGGCUAACUUCGUG
rnacentral:rRNA from 1 species